UUGGGGGGGGGCCUAAUACAUGCAAGUCGAGCGAACAGAAAAGGAGCUUGCUCCUUUGACGUUAGCGGCGGACGGGUGAGUAACACGUGGGCAACCUACCCUAUAGUUUGGGAUAACUCCGGGAAACCGGGGCUAAUACCGAAUAAUCUCUUUUGCUUCAUGGUGAAAGACUGAAAGACGGUUUCGGCUGUCGCUAUAGGAUGGGCCCGCGGCGCAUUAGCUAGUUGGUGAGGUAACGGCUCACCAAGGCGACGAUGCGUAGCCGACCUGAGAGGGUGAUCGGCCACACUGGGACUGAGACACGGUCCAGCUCCUACGGGA
rnacentral:rRNA from 1 species